rnacentral:lncRNA from 1 species
GAUCUCGUGAAUCCGCAACCCGCUCCGAUACCGACUGCUGUGGAUCCGGUAUCCAUUGUUUGGAUUCCGCAACGGAAGCGUCGAAUCGGGUUUUUACCAUAAACCCGUCUCCUCAGCAAAAACUGAUACAAUCAUAAAAGAGAGAAAAAAUCAAAACAGAAAAUAUGUAGGUAAAAUAAGAUUCAUUAAAUAAGAGAAGAUUACACCUGACUCCUCUUCUGCAACAGAAUAGCUACAACCCUAGCCCUCUUUUUGAAUCUCUCAUACCUUUCUCUCGUCUUCUAUGAACCCACAAAGAAGACCUCUCCGCGUGCACCCGUGCAUAAGGUGCACUAAAAUAACUCUCUCUCUCUUUUUC